ensembl:lncRNA
UAGAGAGCCCAUAGGGACCCAUAGAGAACCAAUAGGGACCCAUAGAGAGCCAUAGAGACCUCAUAGGGACCCCAUAGAGAGCCAUAGAGACCCAUACGGACCCCAUAGAGAGCACAUAGAGAGCCAUAGAGAACUCAUAGGGACCCCAUAGGGACCCCAUAGAGAGCCCAUAGGGACGCAUAGAGUACAUAGAGACCCAUACGGACCCCAUAGAGAGCACAUAGAGAGGCCAUAGAGAGCCAUAGAGAGCCCAUAGGGACACCAUAGGGACCCACAGAGUACAUAGAGACCCAUAGAGACCCCAUAGAGACACGGCACUGCGGGGGGCACAGCGGGUAUGGGGGGGCUGCGGGACAAUAGGGUGCAUAGAGACCCCAUAGAGAGCCCAUAAAGACCCCAUAGAGAGCACAUAGAGAGCCCAUAGGGACCCAUAGGGACACAUAGAGAGCCCAUAGAGAGCCAUAGAGAGCACAUAGAGAGCCAUAGAGAACCAAUAGGGACCCAUAGAGAGCCAUACAGAGCCAUAGAGACCCAUAGAGACCCCAUAGAGACACGGCACUGCGGGGGGCACAGCGGGUAUGGGGGGGCUGCGGGACCGUUGGGGACAUAGAGACCCCAUAGAGAACCCAUAAAGACCCCAUAGAGAGCACAUAGAGAGCCCAUAGGGACCCAUAGGGACCCAUAGAGAGCCCAUAGAGAGCCAUAGAGAGCCAUAGAGAGCACAUAGAGAACCAAUAGGGACCCAUAGAGAGCCAUAGAGAGCCCAUAGAGACCUCAUAGGGACCCCAUAGGGACCCAUAGAAGAGCCCAUAGGACCCAUAGAGAGCCAUAGAGAGCCCAUAGAGAACCAAUAGGGACCCAUAGAGAGCCAUAGAGACCUCAUAGAGACCCAUAGGGACCCAUAGAGACCAUAGGACCAUAGAGAGCCAUAGAGAGCCCAUAGAGAGCCAUAG